rnacentral:rRNA from 1 species
UACGAAGGGGGCUAGCGUUGCUCGGAAUCACUGGGCGUAAAGCGCACGUAGGCGGCGUCUUAAGUCAGGGGUGAAAUCCUGGAGCUCAACUCCAGAACUGCCUUUGAUACUGAGAUGCUUGAGUCCGGGAGAGGUGAGUGGAACUGCGAGUGUAGAGGUGAAAUUCGUAGAUAUUCGCAAGAACACCAGUGGCGAAGGCGGCUCACUGGCCCGGUACUGACGCUGAGGUGCGAAAGCGUGGGGAGCAAACGGG